UUUGACAAUUUUGCCCAUAAAAAAUGAUCACAUGCAAGGCACAUGGUGGAUUCCGAUAAAAAAACUAGUAGGAAAUCUAGGUAGGGAUCAAAUUUGACCAAUAUGAAUUUGUAAGGAAUGUAAAAUUACACUUUUAAAAAUGAGGGAUUAAAAAAGUCAUUUUGUAAAAUAUGAGAAACGUUUUGAACGAUUUUUCCUAAAAAAUUGUAGUCUCAAGAAAUGUCCUAAAUUUGGGAUAGAGGCAGCACAUAAUUGUUUUACUAACAGUGAAAGAAUGGGGACAAUUGACAAGAAGCUCCAAAACUUGGGCUGCGUGAAGAAUUUCAAAACCUGAGGUGGGUAUUUUCUUGUUAUUAAACCAGCAUGAAGCUAUACCAGUUUGUUGGAUAAUUUGAAGUAGGCAUGGCUUAUUGAAAAUGGAAAUGGUGACCAAGUAAUGAUUUAUGUGAGCACAGAUUACUGAGCUACAAUCUCCCAGACCUGAUUGACCAAACAUGAUGACUGAUGAGAAACAACCUCCUAGGAAGUGAUUUGCAUCAAAAAUAUAUCACUGGGUCGAUAAGAGUUAUCCACAAAAAGAUUGUAAUGGCUUAGCUUCACUUUGCUCAGCUUGAUGUUCAAGCCUCACUUCCAUGUACUGUACUACUGCUGCCACAUGAAGUAGAGAUUCCCUGUCCAGGCUGCUAAGCCUUUAGGUGAGGGAGUAUACCGCUCUUUGAAAACAAUGAACUAACCAAACCACUGGAACCCUCACAGAAGACAUUCAACUGGAGAAGGCAUCCUUACUGGAUGACAAAUUAAGUUCAGGCCUCAAGUCCAAUGAGAAGGAUAAUGGAGCCAGAGUACCUAUUGAAGAUCCAACAGCGUAAGGAGCAACAGGCACAUCAGCAAGAGAAGAUGCAGAUGGACUAUAGCUUAGAGACCCCAUUGGGUGAUCAAACAUGCAUGAACGCCCAAAUUUGGAUACUUCAUUUUGUAAAUAGUGAUGACAAACAGCCAACACCCGGACGUAGAGGUAGACCCUUGAGGCUAAGGACAAGAUUUGCCUUCUGUGCACUCCAUUCAGGUUGGCCAGGACUUUCUGAAACUGCAUGCUCCUUGUGGAUGCUACCUGAAGGACCUGCGGCAGGUGGAAUAGAUAGAUACUGUCCUUAUAUGCUGGGUGUUGAAGGAGACAACUAGUUAUUCCAUAAACAGGACCAGCUCUCACUGCAGGUUGAGUACUUGCAGUGGCUGCAAAACUUCAGGCGCCAGGUAAAAGUCCAACCCAAAACAGGAACCAUUCCUGCAUGGGGGGAUAUGAUUGCUCAUAAAAGAAAUCAUGAGAUGCCAAUUUAUUUGCCCUGUGAAGUACAAUUUGGAUUCGAAAUUCAACUGAAUUUUAUUAUUAAUUGUUAGUUGCCCAAUACUGUGAAAUUCUCUGAUGAGAUUUAACAAAAAUGUACAAAAUCUCUUGAACCAAGUUUUAAAGUAUUAAUGCUAUUGUUCAUGCUUGUUUCAUCUGGGAAAAACAUCAGGUGUUUAAAUAGUUUCUUAUUUAAAAUACUGUUCUUUGUAAAAUGGAAGCUAUGGAAUAUUUCUUCUACGUGCAAUAAGCGUGCUUUCAAAAAAAAUAAUCUGAACACUAAUUUAAAGUCAUUUUGUCUGUUAAUAAUCAGUGAACUUGCAUAGCUUAUUUCAUUUACGUUAUGAGUAUAAUUCAGAUCACUACAUUGGCCAAAUCACUUGACUUCAUACAUGUCUUUUUUAUUCCCCCCUUUUUUGGUGGAAAGGUAUGUGAAAAUGUUCACAGAAAAGAGUUUGAAUGCUUAGUUCCACAGAUAUUAAUUGGAAAUUGGUGGGUUUUCUUUGAACAGUUCUUUAAAUUGGAAAUGAAUGAUAGUUUUAGCUGAGGGGGCUAUUUUUUGGAUUUUGAAAGAUGGCUUGGUUAAGUUCUGGUUUGAUAAUUGGGAUCAUACAGGUCCUUUAUAUAAUACUGCAUCAGUAAUUGCAGAUCAUCGGGUAAUAGACUUUGUUCGAGAUGGAGUUUGGGAUCAAAAUCUGCUAAACCAGUCACUGCAUUCGGUUGUGGUUAGUCAGGUUUCACAGAUUUCUCCUCCCUCCUUUCACGCUAAUGAUGAUAUGGUUUGGUCUCUUUCAUCUGCAGACAAGUUCUCCAUGUCUUCGCCUUCACCUAGUGAGAAAAGCAAGGAAAUCCUCCUUGGCGUUUGUGGGUAUUUGGCCCUCGAGUAUUCCUUUAAAGGUUUCUUUUUUCAUCCUUCGGUGCUUAUUUAAUCGUUUGUCUGUGCUUGAUACACUAAGUUUGGGAUCCAUGGUCAGUCUAAGUGUUGGUGUCGGGAAAAUCCAGCUUUAGAGACUUUUGAUCAUGCAUUUAGUGAUAGGCAACUUGCUGCUUUAGUAUGGAGUUUCUUUGAAGGUGUGGCUGGCAUUUUGCCUUUGGGUUCUGCUAGUUAAUUGGUGGUUGCAACCAACUACAAACCCUUCACAGGUUUUUAUAUAUAGAGUAGUACUUAUCUUCGUUUGCUAGCAUUUAUGGAAGGUGGGGAAUGAGGCAUUUUCUGAAGGGCGUUUCUCGACUCAUCAUCAUCUUUGCUAACAAAAUUUUAAGGGUGUUGCUAAUCCAUGUGCUCUCGAGUUCAAAGGAAUUGGAUUUGUCACUACAUCUUGGGUGCAAUUUUACCAGUCAGCCUCUUCUUUCAAGAAGAAACUUAGGCCGAUUCCUGUGAGAUGGAUCAGUCCACCUGCUGCUGAUUUUACACUUAACUCAGAUGGUUUUUCAGAAGGUAAUCCAGGACUUAAGGUGGCAGAGGGGUUGUUUAGAAGUUUCUUUUUUUUUUUUUAUUGUUCAGAAGGUGAUUCAGCACAAUUUUCUUUUCCUUAGGAAUCUCAUUUUUGUCAACUUAAAAGAAACUUUUUCAGGGCCGCCUACAUAUCUAUAAUUCAUCAAGUCAUCGCUAACCCGAUCUUCACUUCUUGAUA